CUGUUUGUAAAAACUCUGGCAAAGUUUUCAUGUCACACUUCAACUGCCACUGAGGAACUAUAUCAAGGGGACAGAUAGAAAUUGACCACUUGGGCCAGUGCCCAGCCACUUUCAGAUAAGCUUUGAACAAGGAAGAAAGGGAAAAUGCAGAAAGACUUCCAUUUCGAUGGACAACUCAAGCAGAGAGAAGUUAAGUAACAUGCCCAAGGUCACACAGCUAGCAGCUUGGCAGAAUUCAAUCCAAAGUCAACAUAUAGUGCUUUUAAAGAAGAAUAAAUACACAAGAUGCUAAAAGAAAGAGGACACUUGCUUUCUUCUGAAGUGGCUGAAUGGUGUUCCCCUAAAAGACAUGUCCAUGUUCUAACUCCUGGAUUCAAUGAAUGUGACUUCAUUUGGAAAAAGGGUCAUCUCAGAUAUAAUUAAUUGAAGGAUCUCAGGAUGAGAAUAUCCUGGACUAUCUGGCUUGGCCCUAAAUUCAAUGACACGUGUGCCUGUAAGACAAAGGCAGAAAAAGAUCUGACUUUGACAGAAAAGAAGACAGAGACACAGAGGAGAUGACCACGUAAAGACAGAGGCAGGA